CGGCUAACUUCGUGCCAGCAGCCGCGGUAAUACGAAGGGGGCGAGCGUUGUUCGGAUUUACUGGGCGUAAAGGGCGCGCAGGCGGUUCUGUUUGUCGAGUGUGAAAGCCCCGGGCUCAACCUGGGAACUGCGCUCGAAACGGCGGAACUAGAGUUCGGGAGAGGAGAGUGGAAUUCCCAGUGUAGAGGUGAAAUUCGUAGAUAUUGGGAAGAACACCGGUGGCGAAGGCGGCUCUCUGGACCGAUACUGACGCUGAGGCGCGAAAGCGUGGGGAGCAAACAGGAUUAGAUACCCUGGUAGUCCAC
rnacentral:rRNA from 1 species